AGAGUUUGAUCAUGGCUCAGAACGAACGCUGGCGGCAUGGCUAAGACAUGCAAGUCGAACGGACUGUAUAGCAAUAUGCAGUUAGUGGCGAAAGGGAGAGUAAUGAAUAGGCAAUGUACCUUGGACACCGGGAUAGCGCCGGGGGCAACCCCUUUGCGAAAGUGGCGAUAAUACCGGAUGAAGUCAUCGGGGGGCAUCUCCUGAUGACCAAAGGGUGGCCGCAAGGCUGCCGGUCUUAGAGCAGCUUAUUUCCUAUCACCUAGUUGGCGAGGUAACGGCUCACCAAGGGGACGACGGGUAGCGGGUGUGAGAGCACGAUCCGCCUCAUCGGGACUGAGACACUGCCCGGACACCUACGGGUGGCUGCAGUAACGAAUAUUGGGCAAUGGGCGAAAGCCUGACCCAGCAAUGCCGCGUGCGGGAGGAAGUCCCUCGGGAUGUAAACCGCUUUUAGGGUCUAACAAGCGAGCGGGUGAAUAGCCCGCAAAGUUGAGUCGACCCAGAAAAAGCCACGGCUAACUCUGUGCCAGCAGCCGCGGUAAGACAGAGGUGGCAAGCGUUGUUCGGAAUCAUUGGGCUUAAAGCGUGUGUAGGCGGCGGCGUAAGUGUCGAGUGAAAUGCCAGUGCUCAACGCUGGAACGGCUCGGCAUACUGCGUCGCUUGAGGUCGGUAGAGGCGCCUGGAACUCUAGGUGGAGCGG
rnacentral:rRNA from 1 species